rnacentral:rRNA from 1 species
GACGAACGCUGGCGGCGUGCCUAAUACAUGCAAGUCGAACGAGAGCGACCGGUGCUUGCACUGGUCAAUCUAGUGGCGAACGGGUGAGUAACACGUGGGUAACCUGCUCAUCAGAGGGGGAUAACAUCCGGAAACGGAUGCUAAAACCGCAUAGGUCUUCGAGCCGCAUGGCUUGAAGAGGAAAAGAGGCGCAAGCUUCUGCUGAUGGAUGGACCCGCGGUGCAUUAGCUAGUUGGUGAGGUAACGGCUCACCAAGGCCGUGAUGCAUAGCCGACCUGAGAGGAUGAUCGGCCACAUUGGGACUGAGACACGGCCCAAACUCCUACGGGAGGCAGCAGUAGGGAAUCUUCCGCAAUGGACGCAAGUCUGACGGAGCAACGCCGCGUGAGUGAAGAAGGUUUUCGGAUCGUAAAACUCUGUUGUUAGAGAAGAACAAGUGCUAGAGUAACUGUUAGCGCCUUGACGGUAUCUAACCAGAAAGCCACGGCUAACUACGUG